rnacentral:tRNA from 1 species
GCGGGUGUGGCGGAAUGGCAGACGCGCUGGUCUUAGGAACCAGUGGAAACUCCGUGCAGGUUCAAGUCCUGUCACCCGCACCA